UAAUUUAAUUGUUGGACAUUCAGAAUCUUACUUUUUUUGUUUCCCAAAUACAAUUAAUAUCAUAUUACACUUUGAUAUAAAUAAAAUUCACAAUUCCUUGUGAUAAUUGAAAUAAUUUGUGAAGUAGGCAAAAGAGUAGCUGAUAGAAUAAAAAGGUAGGGCAUUGGGCAUUGGGUAUGAAGUGAGUUCCAAAGAGAUGGGAGCCACAGUUGUUGUCUUCAAGUGGUUGACAGUUCGAUAUGAGCAAAAGUGCAUGGAGGGUGCUGACUGGUGGCUGUCCAUGUUGUGGACUAUGAAGAAGAACAUGUCAUAGUGGUAGAUAUGGGGGGGCAGGGCCAGCACCAAUGUUCCAAACUCAAUUAAUACGCUUCUCGUAUAAUUUUCAAACCAACCAUCCCAUGCCAGCUUCUGCCAGACUCCCUUUUCGGUUUUUCCUCUACUACUACUAGUAGUAAGUUUUCUUUUCUUCCAAAACCCUACACAAGCUACCCCCACCCCACCCCCCCACCCCCCCGGGGCGGUUGGGCCCUGACUUUCAUAUUCUAUCUUCAUCUAAGCUAACAUUGACCAGUUCAUACAAUUUGGUUGCCAUUGGAGGUCAAUCCGCAUAUAUCCAUUGCUGGUAUGGCAGUGAAUGAUUGGACGGUGGAUACCCAAAACUCUGUCACUGAGGGGGGCCCCAAUUAUUGCCAUAUUCAUAGCUAUCCAAGUUUUGUAUGUCACCAGUUACCACUAUAGCUGCUUUCCCAAUUACGGUGCUCUCAUGGCAUCAGGUGGGUUAAAUCAGUCCCUUGUUUUACUCUUUUACGGGUUAAAACAUGACAAUGCAAACUAGACCGUUCAACUUCUGGAAUGAAGUCAUACUAGAAGAGUGGGAAGAUCCAAUUUAUAAACAAGCACUGUAUUCAAGAAAAACACACUUCCUGUCCAAAAUCAUUUCAAUAUAUUCCGCAGAAGAUGCCAUUUUUAAACAAGCACUAUCAAUGUACAUUUAGAAAAACAAACACUUCCUAACCAAAAUCAUUUCAACCAAGAUAUUAAUAUAUUCCGUACAUCGUAUUCAACAAAUGAUUUAUAUAACAGGUCCUUCCCUUUAGCAUCAACCCCACAUAUCGUUCACGGUUCCUUAACGGGGGCAGCCUUUGCAAAGGAGAAGUCUUCAUUUCUUGUUUCUGUGUAGGUUUCAGUUAUUUCAGUUGCAUGCUCAUCAUGAUCCACUCUUAUUAUUAAAUUUGUUGAUGUGGGUGUCAAUGGUUCAGCUUCAAGAUCAGACAU